GACGAACGCUGGCGGCGUGCUUAACACAUGCAAGUCGAACGAAGUGGCGAACGGGUGAGUAAUACGUGGGUAACCUGCCCUCCUUUUUGGGAUAAGCCUUGGAAACGGGGUCUAAUACCGAAUAAAGGGGGAUGGGCUCGCGGCCUAUCAGCUUGUUGGUGGGGUGAUGGCCUACCAAGGCGGUGACGGGUAGCCGGCCUGAGAGGGUGACCGGCCGCAUUGGGAAUGAGAUACGGCCCAGACGCGUACGGGAGGAAGCAGGGGGGGGUAGUGCAAAAUGGGAGAAAGCCAGAUGCAGCGACGCCGCGUGGGGGAUGAAGGCUUGCGGGUUGUAAACCUCUUUAGCCAUAGAACGGGUAGGUGGAGAAGAAGCGCCGGCUAACUACGUGCCAGCCGCCGCGGUAAUAC
rnacentral:rRNA from 1 species